GACGAACGCUGGCGGCGUGCCUAAUACAUGCAAGUUGAGCGCUGAAGGUUGGUACUUGUACCAACUGGAUGAGCAGCGAACGGGUGAGUAACGCGUGGGGAAUCUGCCUUUGAGCGGGGGACAACAUUUGGAAACGAAUGCUAAUACCGCAUAAAAACUUUAAACACAAGUUUUAAGUUUGAAAGAUGCAAUUGCAUCACUCAAAGAUGAUCCCGCGUUGUAUUAGCUAGUUGGUGAGGUAAAGGCUCACCAAGGCGAUGAUACAUAGCCGACCUGAGAGGGUGAUCGGCCACAUUGGGACUGAGACACGGCCCAAACUCCUACGGGAGGCAGCAGUAGGGAAUCUUCGGCAAUGGACGAAAGUCUGACCGAGCAACGCCGCGUGAGGGAAGAAGGUUGUCGGAUCGUAAAACUCGGUUGGUAGAGAAGAACGUUGGUGAGAGUGGAAAGCUCAUCAAGUGACGGUAACUACCCAGAAAGGGACGGCUAACUACGUG
rnacentral:rRNA from 1 species